UGGGGAAUUUUGGACAAUGGGCGAAAGCCUGAUCCAGCAAUGCCGCGUGUGUGAAGAAGGCCUUCGGGUUGUAAAGCACUUUUGUCCGGAAAGAAAUCCUUGGCUCUAAUACAGUCGGGGGAUGACGGUACCGGAAGAAUAAGCACCGGCUAACUACGUGCCAGCAGCCGCGGUAAUACGUAGGGUGCAAGCGUUAAUCGGAAUUACUGGGCGUAAAGCGUGCGCAGGCGGUUUGCUAAGACCGAUGUGAAAUCCCCGGGCUCAACCUGGGAACUGCAUUGGUGACUGGCAGGCUAGAGUAUGGCAGAGGGGGGUAGAAUUCCACGUGUAGCAGUGAAAUGCGUAGAGAUGUGGAGGAAUACCGAUGGCGAAGGCAGCCCCCUGGGCCAAUACUGACGCUCAUGCACGAAAGCGUGGGGAGCAAACAGGAUUAGAUACCCCUGGUAGUCCACGCCCUAAAACGAUGUCAACUAGUUGUUGGGGAUUCAUUUCCUUAGUAACGUAGCUAACGCGUGAAGUUGACCGCCUGGGGAGUACGGUCGCAAGAUUAAAACUCAAAGGAAUUGACGGGGUCAUAGCUGUUUCCU
rnacentral:rRNA from 1 species